GAUGAACGCUAGCGGCAGGCCUAAUACAUGCAAGUCGGACGGGAUAGAGGAGCUUGCUUCUCUUGAGAGUGGCGCACGGGUGCGUAACACGUAUGUAACCUACCUUAUCCAGGGGGAUAGCCUCUCGAAAGAGAGAUUAACACCGCAUAACAUUAUUGAAUAGCAUUAUUUAAUAAUCAAAUAUUAUAGGGAUAAGAUGGGCAUGCGGGACAUUAGCUAGUUGGCGGGGUAACGGCCACCAAGGCGACGAUGUCUAGGGGAUCUGAGAGGAUCGACCCCCACCA
rnacentral:rRNA from 1 species